AGGAUUGACAGAUUGAUAGCUCUUUCUUGAUUCAGUGGUUGGUGGUGCAUGCCGUUCUUAGUUGGUGGAGCGAUUUGUCUGGUUAAUUCCGAUAACGAACGAGACUCCAGCCUGCUAAUUAGUGUAUCCGUCCACUGUUCCUGUGUAGGCGGCGUCCGACAAGGCUGCUGCGUUGGUUGAUGUGGGGCGCAAGCUUCACUGACUGCCUCGUAGCGGCUGGCUUGGCGUUAGCUUCCGGGUACGGCGCGGGUGCUUACUUCUUAGAGGGACAAGCGGGAAAAGCCGCACGAAAUUGAGCAAUAACAGGUCUGUGAUGCCCUUAGAUGUCCGGGGCCGCACGCGCGCUACAAUGACGGUGCCAACGAGUCUGACCUUCUGGCCCGAAAGGGUUGGGCAAACUGGUCAAUCACCGUCAUGACAGGGAUCGGGGCUUGGAAUUGUUCCCCGUGAACGAGGAAUUCCUAGUAAGUGCAAGUCAUAAGCUUGCGCUGAUUACGUCCCUGCCCUUUGUACACACCGCCCGUCGCUACUACCGAUUGAAUGGUUUAGUAAGGUCCUUGGAUUGGCGCCAUUGUGGUGAUUGCCGAAAGGUGGUCAUCCGACGUGUGCUGAGAAGACGACCAAACUUGAUCAUUUAGAGGAAGUAAAAGUCGUAACAAGGUUUUCG
rnacentral:rRNA from 1 species